rnacentral:rRNA from 1 species
AUUGAACGCUGGCGGCAGGCCUAACACAUGCAAGUCGAGCGAGCGGCGGACGGGUGAGUAAUGUAUGGGGACUGCCCGAUAGAGGGGGAUAACUACUGGAAACGGUAUCUAAUACCGCAUACUAUCCGAUAACCCAUAUGGGAUUAGGUAGUAGGUGAGGUAAUGGCUCACCUAGGCGACGAACCCUAGCUGGUCUGAGAGGAUGAUCAGCCACAUUGGGACUGAGACACGGCCCAGACUCCUACGGAGGCAGCAGUGGGGAAUAUUGGACAAUGGGCGCAAGCCUGAUGCAGCCAUGCCGCGUGUAUGAAGAAGGCCCUAGGGUUGUAAAGUACUUUCAGUCGGGAGGCGUUACCGACAGAAGAAGCAACGGCUAACUCCGUGCCAGCAGCCGCGGUAAUUC